GGAAGCGGCCCUCAGCCCUUGGCCCAGCUGUUCUAGGCCUGCUUUCAGGGAUCCAGGAAGAAAGUGACCAACCCAUGCAAACUUAGGGCAAAACUAACCAUAUUUAACAGUAGGGAGGUGGCCACAGCUGAUGAAAGACCUCACGCUUGUUCCAACAGGCCCUGGGAGCUGAAUUGUAUCCCUGAAACUGGCCUAGCUUCCUUCAGCUCAACAGAGCAGCUGAAAGACUUUUGAGUUUGCCACAUCUGCGUCACAACUUAAUUCUUGAAAAGGCCGUAUAAAAUGCUGCUUCCUCAGGAUGCCUGCUCUUUAUCAGCAUCCCUGUCUCCAUGGUGAUAGCCUUCUUGCCGUAAUCAGAGGGAUGACCUACUUAACCAUGGAAAUAUUGGCUUCAUUCGAGUUAACUUUGCUGGUAAUAUGCACGUAUGUGUUUAAUUCCAUUUUUGAUCCAAACUGCCACAAUUGUAUCUGUCUAUAGUAGGUUCUCUAAGAAGAAUGUAAAAUCCGUUUUUGUCUUGCUUGCCCGAAAGUGUUAUCAUUUUAAUUUCAUCAAAGUAUCCCUGGUCUUCAGGGAUUCAGAAUUGGAGCAAUUCUUGGUUAUACCUCAUCAUUUUACAGAUGUCUCUUUUAUAACAGUCUUCUCAUCUUUGGCAGAGGUUUCACAACUUUCUCCAACCUUCGGGAUGGAAAUUUAGACAAAUUUCCUACAAACUCUUAGGAGCUACAUGGCUUAAGAGAAAGGCUGAAUGUGAAAAUGU
rnacentral:lncRNA from 1 species